rnacentral:tRNA from 1 species
UUAUUAAUAGUUUAACUAAAACAUAAUCCUGAGAAGAUUAAAAUGGAUUUUUCCUAAUAUG